GUCAGUGUGAUGUAGUGGUUUGAGUGUUGGACUACAGCUCUGGAGACCAGGGUUCGAUUCCCAGCUCAGCCA